rnacentral:rRNA from 1 species
GGCCUAACACAUGCAAGUCGAGCGGUAGAAGAUCUUCGGAUCUUUGAGAGCGGCGUACGGGUGCGGAACACGUGUGCAACCUACCUUUAUCAGGGGGAUAGCCUUUCGAAAGGAAGAUUAAUACCCCAUAAUAUAUUGACUGGCAUCAGUCGAUAUUGAAAACUCCGGUGGAUAGAGAUGGGCACGCGCAAGAUUAGAUAGUUGGUAGGGUAACGGCCUACCAAGUCAGUGAUCUUUAGGGGGCCUGAGAGGGUGAUCCCCCACACUGGUACUGAGACACGGACCAGACUCCUACGGGAGGCAGCAGUGAGGAAUAUUGGACAAUGGGUGAGAGCCUGAUCCAGCCAUCCCGCGUGAAGGACGACGGCCCUAUGGGUUGUAAACUUCUUUUGUAUAGGGAUAAACCUACUCUCGUGAGAGUAGCUGAAGGUACUAUACGAAUAAGCACCG